CUACGGGGGGCAGCAGUGAGGAAUAUUGCACAAUGGGGGGAACCCUGAUGCAGCAACGCCGCGUGGAGGAUGACGCAUUUCGGUGUGUAAACUCCUUUUAUAUGUCAAGAAAAUGACGGUAGCAUAUGAAUAAGCACCGGCUAACUCCGUGGCCAGCAGCCGCGGUAAUACGGAGGGUGCAAGCGUUACUCGGAAUCACUGGGCGUAAAGGACGCGUAGGCGGGUUGGAAAGUCAGGUGUGAAAUCCUACAGCUUAACUGUAGAACUGCACUUGAAACUUCUAAUCUAGAGUAUGGGAGGGGGAGAUGGAAUUAGUGGUGGAGGGGUAAAAUCCGUAGAUAUCACUAGGAAUACCUAAAGCGAAGGCGAUCUCCUGGAACAUUACUGACGCUAAGGCGUGAAAGCGUGGGGAGCAAACAGGAUUAGAUACCCGCGUAGUC
rnacentral:rRNA from 1 species